rnacentral:rRNA from 1 species
UACAUAGGGGUCAAGCGUUGUCCGGAUUUAUUGGGCGUAAAGAGUAUGUAGGCGGCUAGAUAAGUCAGACGUGUAAGCCCAUGGCUCAACCAUGGAAUUGCGUUUGAAACUAUUUAGCUUGAGUGCAGGAGAGGAAAGCGGAAUUCCCAGUGUAGCGGUGAAAUGCAUUGAUAUUGGGAAGAACACCGGUGGCGAAGGCGGCUUUCUGGUCUGUUACUGACGCUGAGAUACGAAAGCCAGGGGAGCAAAGGGG